CUUUGUUAUUGAAAGAAGUAGUGACAUGAGGAUGCUCAUUUCCCGAAUUCUUUUUUUCAUAAUUUUUGUCCCCUUCCAACUUUUUUACCUUCCAUAUACAUUCACAUACUUUUACUCCCUACAUUCCACAUUGCAACAUGUUUUACCCCUGAAAUCCUAUAUCCAAAACGUGUCUUGUCAAGAUCCUUGAAAUUACAUACAUAAAUCGAUCUAAUUCAUACUGCACCCACUUGUCAUCUAUUACAUGAUAUAAUUGGCUAUAAAUGUGGAAAUACAUGUAGUCCCACGGUUCCCCAAGAAUACAUAUAAAAC
rnacentral:lncRNA from 1 species